AGUUUAGACACAUUACCUUACUUGAUGGAGGAGGUUGAUUUUCAGUCCUUGAUCCCUCAAAUUUCUUCAGAAAGUUUCCUCCGACAUGCUUAGUCUUCUUCGUUGUCUCCGAGAACUUUGAAAAAAGGUGGAUCCGGUGGAAGUAGUAGUGGAUCCGACGGAGGAAAGGGAGAGCGUGGCGUCGACAGCUAUGAAGAAGAUUAAGAAGGAUGGAGAUGAAGAAGUUAACCACGUCGUCGUUGAGAAAUAAAAGCAAAACUAAAACUAUUUAUAGAUUAUAAGAUGAAAUUAAGGGUGAAAUAGAGGUUGCAAGGCAACCCUAAAUACCCUUAUUGAUGUCAUUUUUUCGGGAGGAUCUUUUCUCUCCCUCUUCUCUCUCUAAUACCUUUCAGAGAGAAAAUAGGUUCUCGACCUGAUUUUGGGGGCUAGAGUUUUUAUGGAGACUUAUGUCACAAUGUCGUUGGGCUCUGCGUCUGGCAUCACUUGCGUAUAAGCGGUGGAAGCUGUUUUUUCCGACAUCGGUGGCUCUGUUUACCACUGUUGGCUGACACUUCCAGUACUGAUUGGCUUCUUCUGCAACGGUGGCUGGUUAUGUCUCCAUCGAUUCAGCCUCUGGCGAUUCAGAUGGCUAGUGAAUGAAAGCAAGCCCCAAAUAGCAAAAUUUCCUUAACGAUUGAAAACUUUUUGAUUAAAGAAGAAGAUGAAGAAGAUUUACAGAUUUGUAUCAAGUGGAGUCAUAUUUGCAACAAAAGUCAAUUGGAAUUUCGCCUUGGUUUGUUUGGGCGAAGAAGAUGAAUAAGCUUUCCGGCGAUUUCUGCUUAGAAUGAAGCUUCCGACAUCACAACAACUUUUCGAUAAUCGGAGACUCCCUCCUCCUCUUCAACUUCCCACAUGUCUUCCA